rnacentral:rRNA from 1 species
GAUGAACCGUGCGAACGUUAUUCGGAAUCACUGGGCUUAAAGCGCGUGUAGGCGGGAGGGCACGUCCGUCGCUGAAAUCCCCCGGCUCAACCGGGGAACGGGCGCGGAUACGACCUUCCUUGAGGGGCGUAGGGGGACCUGGAACUUCCGGUGGAGCGGUGAAAUGCGUUGAGAUCGGAAGGAACGCCCGUGGCGAAAGCGAGGUCCUGGACGCCUACUGACGCUGAGGAGCGAAAGCGUGGGGAGCGAACAGG